rnacentral:tRNA from 1 species
GUGGUUGUAGCUCAGGGGCAGAGUGCUUGCCUAGCAUGAAUGAGGCACUGGGAUCAAUUCCCAGCACCACA